AUAAGUAAAUUAAGUAAAAACGAAAAUAAUGUACAGAUAAUGUCCGUCGCUAAAUAUUGUACGAGCUAAAAUGGAGGGACUACCUGAUUUUUUCAUGUUUAAUAGUGUUCGUCCUUUGUUUUUACUACUAAUGUAUUUAUUUCUAAAUUGUCUUCUCAUCCUAAACAUAAUAUACCAAUACUUUUCAAACAAAAAUCUAAUAAUUAUAACGUUGUAGGAUUUUAAAUGAUAAUUAUUGUAUUCGAAUUAUACAUUUAUAGAUUCUCCUAGCAAGAGAAAGAAAGAGGGCAUGGUCGGAAAGAGUCCCGUCACCAUGAUACAAGAUGGCGUCGUUAAACGCCAAGAGAAAACGAAAGUAAUAGCAGACAGGUCAUGCUGUCUGUCCCUGUCUGCCUGGGCUGUGUUGCAUUUUUCAGGAAUCGAUUCGAAAGAAAACGAUGACGGACAGCAACAACGUUCUCUUUCAAUCCUCUUUUCUUCCUUUUUCUUUUAUUCACGCGACACGGAACGGACAACUACUCUAUGUUAUGUGUCAUAAAUUCGACCGAGUUUACGGGUGUUUGUAAACAGACGCGAGAGAAAGGAAAGAGAAGGAAGGAAGGAAACGGCAUAUAUAGUUUUAAAGAAAAAGAUAAGGAAUAGAAAGAGAGAAGAGGUAGAACGUUGAAGAAAGGCAGCUUAAUCGUUUCACAUGCAACAACAUCUUGCAUAGAGAGUUCGGUUAGGCUUCGUUUGUCUGGUGUGCUCUGCAAAACCCUCCUCCUUUCACGCUUCGUCGCUCUUUCCUUCUCACCGCUCCUAUAUGCCCUUUCUUUCUCCAUCUCUCUCUCUUCUCUCUCUCUUUCUUUCUUUCUUUCUUUCUUUUUCAAUCUCUCUUACUCUUCCACCUUUUCUCGUGACUAACGUGACGUCAUCCUGUGUCUCCAAAGAGAGGAACUCUUCUUAAAGUAAGCGGGGAGACGGGACAGAAGCAUGCAACGUAGCGCGACCAGUCUCCGCCUCUGGCCCCUCACCGGCCGCAACCAUUCGCACAACGAUGCAACGCUCAACGACGACGACGACGCACAGUGACAUCGCUCGUUUGCGCGUAGUCGUUGGUUCGACGCUCAGCCGACUGCCCCCCACACCCUUCCCGUCCUCUUUACUCCUCUUGCCGAACCAUUCUACUACCCACUCCUAGGCUCUACUACAUUGCCCGUCGGUCGCGCAGCAACCGGUUCCUCCCCACCUAUAUCGGUCUCACCCCCUACCCUUCUUCCCCUAUACUCCCGUCGAUCGAGUGGACCUCCUCCACCCUCGUACGUUUUUAUGUCCCUCUCUCUAUCUUUUUCUCUCACUCUCGUUUCGUUCAUCCGCGCACAACGACGUUGUCCAUUCUAGCUCGCUCGCUCACUCGCUCAUUCGUUUGGUCGGCCGGUCGGUUGGUCUCCUUUUUCGCGCAACAUCGUAGCCACAUUUUUCCUGCGCACACAACAAAAGUGUGUGUGUCUGUCUGUCUGUGUGUAUGUGGUUUUAGACGAUCAUCCAGCAGCACGUUCGAAGAACGUUCCAAGUCGCCGUCUCCUUGUUUCAUCGACAUUUGAUCGUAGAAAAUAAUGCGUGGGCGACAUUAAAGGAAGAAGCACCUGACGAAAGCAGCCGGAGCAGACGGCCAGGUACAGGCAGACCGCGUACGUAACGACGUACCUGCGGCAGGUGAAUCGAGUCAGGUGCCUCAACAGAUGGGUGCCUUUACUCAAGGAAGCGUUAUAAAAGCGGUCUAUCAUAAAUGUGGGUACCCAGUAUUAAAGAAGGAAAAAAUAUACCAGCCGCGAAUGUGUUAAAAUAAUCGGAACACGCGAAGAAGCUGCCCCCAAAAUUUGCAAAAACUUAACCAGUAAUUUCAGAAAGCCGUCCAACCCUAAUAUGCGUUCAAUACUAUCUUUGACAGCUGCAAACAUAAGCGGAAAAAUUAUUUGCCAAUGCAGCUGAUAGAAUAUCGCACGUACUAGCUCGAUAUAGUGGAUAUAUGCAUAGAGACCGUAUAUCCCCGCGAACGUCCAUCCGUUCGUUCGAUCGUACAUAUUUUAUCGGUUUAACUUAAUCGGGUGACAGAGGCCAGGGAAUAUUUCGUUCGCGAAAUCAUAACUUUUGCUCCCAAGUGAUAAAUAUUUAUGUCAUCUCAUAACGAUCGAAGCGACAUUUAUUCUUCUUCUUCUUAUUUGUAUAACGUAUUGAGCAAGAAUGUUUUCAUUUUCUUUUUAUAUUUUUUUCUUGAUUCGUUUAUCUUUGCAAAUUUUUCCAUUGUUAUUCAUACAUCGUUGAUUUAGGAAACAGACGUUUAGUCUCUUCGUAAUAUUUUUAUGAAUGUGAUAGAAUUGAUACGCAAGACACACAUAUGUAUAAAUAUAACGUUAACAUUUAUACAUAAGUAUAGAUAAGGCGUUAUCAAGUAUACGAUAAUCGCAAACACGAAGCACAUUUCGUAGCUUCUUAUCUUAUUGUGCCAGUUGAAAACAAUUCUUUUGCUAUAAGUGAUUCACAAAAAUGUUUAGUAUUUAAAUACUUCUCUCUCU